rnacentral:rRNA from 1 species
ACGCGAAGAACCUUACCUGGACUCGAAAUCUAGUUGACCGCCUCAGAGAUGAGGUUUUCCCGCAAGGGACGGCUGGAUAGGUGCUGCAUGGCUGUCGUCAGCUCGUGUCGUGAGAUGUUGGGUUAAGUCCCGCAACGAGCGCAACCCUUACCCUUAGUUGCUAAUCCGCAAGGAAAGCACCCUAAGGGAACUGCCUCGGAUAACGAGGAGGAAGGUGGGGAUGACGUCAAGUCCUCAUGGCCUUUAUGCCCAGGGCUACACACGUGCUACAAUGGCCGGUACAAACCGUCGCAAACCCGCGAGGGGGAGCCAAUCGGAAAAAACCGGUCUCAGUUCGGAUUGCAGGCUGCAACUCGCCUGCAUGAAGCUGGAAUCGCUAGUAAUCGCGGAUCAGAACGCCGCGGUGAAUACGUUCCCGGGCCUUGUA